AGAGUUUGAUCCUGGCUCAGAAUGAACGUUGGCGGCGUGGAUUAGGCAUGCAAGUCGAGCGAGAAGCCUCCUUCGGGAGGUGGACAGCGGCGAAAGGGUGAGUAACGCGUAGAUACCAACCUUGAGGUUCGGAAUAGCGGGGGGAAACCGCCGGUAAUGCCGAAUAACAUCUCCGGAUCAAAGCUCCGGCGCCUCAAGACGGGUCUGCGUCCUAUUAGCUAGUUGGUGGGGUAAUGGCCUACCAAGGCGACAAUGGGUAGCGGGCGUGAGAGCGUGGCCCGUCACACUGGGACUGAGACACUGCCCAGACACCUACGGGUGGCUGCAGUCGAGAAUCUUUGUCAAUGGACGAAAGUCUGAACAAGCGACGCCGCGUGCGGGAUGAAGGCCUUCGGGUUGUAAACCGCUGUCAGAGGUUAGGAAAUUUUGACCGACCCUCAGAGGAAGUCCGGCUAAGUU
rnacentral:rRNA from 1 species